GAUGAACGCUAGCGGCAGGCCUAAUACAUGCAAGACGAACGGUAAGUUGAGUAGCAAUACUUAGCCAAGAGUGUCGUACGGGUGCGUAACACGUAUGCAACCUACCCUAUACAGGAGGAUAGCCUAGGGAAACCUGGAUUAACCCUUCAUAGUAUUAUUGGAUGGCAUCAUUUGAUAAUUAAAACUGAGGUGGUAUAGGAUGGGCAUGCGUCUGAUUAGUUAGUUGGCGGGGUAAUGGCCCACCAAGACGAUGAUCAGUAGGGGUUCUGAGAGGAAGAUCCCCCACACUGGCACUGAGAUACGGGCCAGACUCCUACGGGAGGCAGCAGUAGGGAUAUUGGUCAAUGGAUGCAAGUCUGAACCAGCCAUGCCGCGUGCAGGAAGAAGGCCCUUCUGGGGUUGUAAACUGCUUUUGCCAGGGGAUAAAAUUUCCAUGCGUGGAAAACUGAAGGUACCUGGUGAAUAAGCCACGGCUAACUACGUGCCAGCAGCCGCGGUAAU
rnacentral:rRNA from 1 species